UGGUGGAUGGGAUGAGAAAUGCAAGC
rnacentral:piRNA from 1 species